GCAGUAGCCACGGGAAUACAGAGGGUGCGAGCGUUAAUCGGAUUUACUGGGCGUAAAGCGUGCGUAGGCGGCUAAUUGAGUCGGAUGUGAAAUCCCCGAGCUUAACUUGGGAAUUGCAUUCGAUACUGGUUAGCUAGAGUGUGGGAGAGGAUGGUAGAAUUCCAGGUGUAGCGGUGAGAUGCGUAGAGAUCUGGAGGAAUACCGAUGGCGAAGGCAGCCAUCUGGCCUAACACUGACGCUGAGGUACGAAAGCAUGGGGAGCAAACAGGAUUAGAUACCCGCGUAGUCCCUGUCUCUUAUAC
rnacentral:rRNA from 1 species